CUUCCGGUGCAUGUGGAGGUUAUACACGUCAGCAUAGUAUUACCCUGGUACGGUUCAUAACGUUAUCGUGGAUGCCCCGAGCUCGAGACAUGCAAAAAUAGUACAAUGUUAUGUGGUCUAUUCACCCAAUGCAAAUCAAUUUAUUUAUUUAAAUUGUAUAUAGACUUAUUUUUCUAUUGUAUUAUUGACUGUAUGUUUGUUUUACUCCAUGUGUAACUCUGUGUUGUUAUACGUGUCGAACUACUUUGCUUUAUCUUGACCAGGUCGCAGUUGUAAAUGAGAACUUGUUCUCAAUUUGCCUACCUGGUUAAAUAAAGGUGAAAUAAAAUAAAUACAAAUGUGACCUUGUAUAAACCAAAGCUGCUCAACAAAUCUGAUUUUGUUAAUCUACAGAGAGAGGCUAUGCGUCUUUGUUCUAUUUCAACGGGGGGAAUUAUUUACUGUAAGGCAAAAAUGCCUGUACCUAAAUCUAUCUUGGCAUACUUCCCAUCCCAUGUAAUCGUAGACCAAACAUACAACAUAUUUGCCCGCAAAGCAAUUCUUUUUUUAUCAUGUAUUUUUUAACAUGUUUUUUUUGUGGGGGGGAGAAACGAACUGAAUAUACUUUAAAAUUACUAAAACCAAAUUGAAACUGUAGAAAUUAUAAUGGACCUAUAUUCACACCAUUUCUUGAAUGUCCAGCCAUAGCUGCUGACAUUUUUUUACUUUCCUUCCGCUAUGUGUCCAGCUCACUAAUAAUCACUGUGCACAGUCAAUGGAUCUACAUACAUACAGUUUUUUCACUGUCCAGCUCGCUAAUAAUCACCAAACAGUCAGGGCGCAUCGAAAAUUCCCAAAACGGUGGAUAGAGGACUAUUUUUUUGCUAAUUUUGACGCAAGGAAAUAUAGCAAAUGUUCAGUGCUGCCCUCCGGACCUAGUUGAAGACUGAAUGCAGCCCCCGGGGCAACAGGAGUUUGACACCCCUGUCGUAUCCUGGGGACACCAGGCUGUGUAGGGGCUAUUUCACCAAGAAGGAAAGGGAUGGAGUGCUGCAUCAGAUGACCUGGCCUCCACAAUCCCCCGACCUCGACCAAAUUGAGAUGGUUUGGGAUGAGUCGGACCGCAGAGUGAAGGAAAAGCAGCCAACAAGUGCUCAGCAUAUGUGGGAACUCCUUCAAGACUAUUGGAAAAGUAUUCCAGGUGACAUGGGUAGAGAAAAUGCCAAGAGUGUGCAAAGCUGUCAUCAAGGCAAAGGUAGCUAGCUAUUUGAAGAAUCUCAAAUGCAUUUUGAUUUGUUUAAAACUUUUUUUGUUACUAUAUGAUUACUAUAUGAUUCCAUAUGUGCUAUUUCAUAGUGAUGUCUUCACUAUUAUUCUACAAUGUAUAAAAUAGUAAAACAUAAAGAAAAACCCUUAAAUGAGUAGGUGUUCUAAAACUUUUGACUGGUAGUGUGUAAUGUCCAAUGAAAUGCUUACUUGCAGGUUCCUUCUGGACAAUGCAACAAUAAUAUAAUAAACUCAGUAGAAUAGAAUAGACAUGUUAGCAGAAGUAUAAUGCACAAUAUAUAUUCCAAUAUUCACAUGUGUUUUGGGGGAAGCAGGGAUUUGGGGUUUAUUAUGUUUAAAUAAUAAGUAUUGUGAUGUGUGGAAUGAAAUCAGGUCAGAAAAAAUGUUUGACCAUUUUAAAUAAUGUUUAUACAAACCAUGAAAUUAUUUAUAUCUAUAGCUAGGUUUCCAUCAGUGAAGACUCAGAGGAGGAAGGGGAGGACUAUCCUCCUCAGUGAAUUUCAUAAAAAUAAUAGUUGUAAAACAUUUAAAAUGUUAUGCUUUUUAGAUAAAACUAUAAUAAAUAUAUUCAAAUCAACAAAUAAUUGAUUAAAACACACUGUUUUGCAAUGAAGGUCUAUAGUAGCCUCAACAGCACUCUGUAGGGUAGCACCAUGGUGUAGCCAGAGGACAGCUAGCUUCCUUCCUCCUCUGGGUACAUUUAAUUCAAUACAAAACCUAGGAGGCUCAUGGUUCUCAACCCCUUCCAUAGACUUACACAGUAAUUAUGACAACUUCCAGAGGUCGUCCUCCAACCUAUCAGAGCUUCUGCAGCAUGAACUAACAUUUUGUCCACAAAAUCAAAGGAUCAGAUAAUGAAUUUAGUACUGAACGCAUAUACUGCAGCUAGCUAGCACUGCAGUGCAUAACAUGUGGUGGGCAGUUGACUCAAAGAGAGAGACAGACAAUAGUUGAACAGUUUUGAAUAAAUUCAUUUCUUCCAAAAUGAAGGAGAAGCGAGAUAGAUGUCGUAAUUUUCUACCAGGUAUGGAGGUACGACCCAGAUGCAGACCACGUCGAAUAAACAAUCGUUUAAUAUUCCAACAGGGGCAGGCAAGGCAGGUAGGGGUCAGUAAACCAGAGGUGGGGCAACGAUACCGUGCAGCAGGAAGGGUCAGGGUAAGGCAGAGGUCUGUAAUCCAGAGGGGGGCAAAGGUACAGGUCGGCAGGCGGGCUCGAAGGACAGGCAAGGGUAAAAACCUGUCGGGCGAGAAGAGAGAAACUGGAAAAAGCAGGAGCUGAGACAAACACUGGUUGACUUGAAGAAACAAGACCAACUGGCAACAGACAAACAGAGAACACAGGUAUAAAUACACAGGGGAUAAUGGGAAGAUGGGCGACACCUGGAGGGGGGUGGGGACGAUCACAAAGACAGGUGAAACAGAUCAGGGUGUGACAGUACCCCCCCCUUCUAGGGGUGCCAACUGGAGUCCUACCUGGGUGCAUAUCGGGUUGACCAGGGUGUCGAUGAAAAUCUGCGAUGAGGCCUGUGUCCUGGAUGUCCCUGGUGGGGACCCAGCACAUCUCCUCCGGGCCAUAACACUCCCAGUCAACCAAGUACUGGAACGCCCUGCCCCGAGGUCGAAACUUCAGGAGACGCCUCACCAUGUAAGCUGGUUGGCCGUCGAUGAGACGGGGAAGAGGGAUGGGCCUGGAAACGGGAGACAAAGGGCUAUGAGACAUGGAUUUGACUUUGGACACAUGAAAGGUGGGAUGUAUACGAAGGGUACAGAGCAACAGAAGACGAACAGCAGAGGGGCUAAUGAUCUUGGAGAUGGCGAACAGGCCGAUCAACCGGGGGGGGUUAGAUCCCGGGUGGUUAGCCAUACCUUCUGCCCGAGAAGAUACCGGGGAGCCAGGGUCUGAUUGCUUUGGGGUGGUAGCAGUGGGGUUAUAGCAGCAAGACAGGGCAUCCGGCUUGACGUUCUUGGAUCCCAGCCAGUAGGAGAGGGAAAAGUUGAACCGGGUAAACAGCAAGGCCCAUCUCGCCUGCCAGGAGUUGAGGUGCUUGGUGGUGCAGAGAUAAUCCAGGUUUUUGUGGUUUGUCCACACAAUGAACGGAUGUUCCGCACCUUCGAGCCAGUGCCUCCAAUGCCAUCUUCACCGCGAGAAGCUCCCGAUUCCCCACAUUGUUAUUCCUCUCCGUGGCGAUGAAGCUUAAGGUCCAGGACAGAACGUUGGGACAGGACAGCCCCCAAUCCGACAUCCGAAGUAUCGGCCUCCACCACGAACUGACGAUAAGGGUCCCAAUGAACCAGGAUCGGAGCCAGGGUGAAGCAAUGUUUAAGGUCCCGGAACGACCGGUCUGCGGCCGUGGACCAAGUGAACAGAACCUUGGUAGAGGUGAGGGCAGACGGGGGAGACCAGGGUGCUGUAAACCCGGAUAAAGCAGCGAUAAAAGUUGGUGAACCCCAGGAAGCGUUGCAGCUGCACCCUGGACGUAGGCUGAGGCCAAUCCACCACCACUUUCACCUUCUCAGGAUCCCUCUUGACCCUCCCAGCAGAAAUGACGUAGCCAAGAAAGGGAAUAGUGGAGUGAUAGAACUCACAUUUUUCCGCCUUAACGAACAACUGGUUCUCCAGAAGGCGCUGGUGAACCUGACGGACAUGGAGCACGUCUUCUUGGGGGGAGCGGGAGAAGGCAAGGAUGUCAUCAAUGUAGAUGAAGACAUGUCACGGAGAAUGUCAGUCACCAGAGUCUGGAACAUGGCAGGGGCGUUGGUGAGACCAAAGGGCAUGACUAGAUAUCCAUAGUGGCCGCGUUGAAGGCGGUCUUCCACUUGUCCCCCUCUCAUAUCCGCAUCAGGUGGUAGGCAUUAUGUAGAUCCAGCUUGGAGAACACAGUGGCCACCUGGAGCGGCUCAAAGGCCUAGGAAAUGAGUGGUAGCGGAUAACGGUUCUUAACAGUGGUGUCAUUGAGUCCCCUGCACGGGCGCAGGGUCUUGUCCUUCUUCUCCACGAAGGAGAAUCCUUCACCAGCGGGAGAGGAAGAGGGAUGGAUAAAUCCAGUAGCUAGGGAGUCGCCAAUGUGGUCCUCCAUAGCCUUGGUUUCAGGUCCCGACAGUGAGAACAGACACCCCCGGGGCGGUGUGGUGCCAGGGAGAAGGUCAAUCCCACAAUCAUAGGGGUGGUGCGGCAGAAGGGAAGUGGCCCGGGACUUGCUGAACACCUGGAGGUCCUGGUACUCCGCGGGAAUGGCAGAGAGGUCUGGAACCACCUCCGAGGACCCAGGAAGACGUCCCAGGGCAGGUUGCGCCGACUUCAGACAAUGGGCGUGGCAGAACGGACUCCAGCCCAUGAUGGCACCCGUAGACCAGCUGAUGAGUGUUGUGUCACUGGAGCCAGGAGAAUCUCAAAACCACAGGGAUCGGGGGACUUGAUGAGCAAGAACUGAAUGGUCAUGCUGUGAUUCCCUGACACCCGUAGGUUGAUGGGUGUGGUGUUAUGGGUGACCCGACCUAUAGAGCACCCGUCCAACGCUCUAACAUCCACGGGAAUGGAGAGGGGCUGAGUGGGGAUGUUAAAGCUCGGAAGCCAGUGUGGCAUCCAAUAAGCUCUCAUUGGCCCCAGAGUCAAUGAGGACCCGGAGAGAUUUGGACUGGUUUCCCCACAACAGAAUAACAUGAAAACUGAUGCGAGUAAGGGAAGCAGAAAAGUUCCCCAGAUGGCCCACCAGAGUACUUGCUCCUACUGGUGAGCCUGGUCAUUUACCAGGCACGAGGACACAAAAUUACCAAAAGUUCCACAAUACAGACAGCUCCUUGUGCUGAUCCGGUGUUGCCGUUCCGCUGGCGACAGCCCAGCCUUGCCUAGGUUGCAUGGGCUCGGGAAACAGUGCCUCGGCCCUCCUCGGUGACUCUCGAGGAAGGUCGGGAAAUCUCGGCCACGGGACCAUCGGGGACUUCCUGGAUGACUCGGAGGCAAGGUGGAAUCCCUGGACGUGCGAGUGAAAUCGAAUUUCCUCUCCAUCCGUCGUUCCUGCAAUCGCCCAUCGAUACAGAUGGUCAAAGCAAUGAGGGAGUCAAAAUCUGUGGGUAACUCCCGAGCUGCAAGCUCGUCUUUAACCUCCUCUGAGACACUGUGCAGGAACAUGUCAAACAGUGCGUCCGGGUUCCACUCACUCACUGCUGCCAACGUACGGAAAUCCACCGCAUAGUCAGCCACAGUGCGGGCAUCCUGCCGGAGCUGGAUUAGCUUCUGCCAGCUUCUCUCCCGGAGAACGGGGCAUCAAAGACCUUCCUCACUUCUCCCACGAACCCCUCCAGGCUCACCCAUGUGGCCGGCUGCUCAUCAGUUUGAUGAGGUAGGCUAUUUUGGAGCAAUCCGAGGGGAAGAAGAAGGACUGAAGCUUGAAAAUGAUGGCACACUAACCUAAAAAUGCACAACAGUUGCUCAGCUCUCCAUUAAAGCAUUCCAUAGGAGGUAACCGGGGCUCCGGAAGGAGCAGGUAUAAAUACCUGAGUUCUCUGCCAGUUCGUCUUGUUUGUUUAAGUCAACCAGCGUUUUGUGUCUCAGCUCCUGCUGUUUCCAGUCUCUCUUUUCUCGCCCUCCUGGUUUUGCCCCUUGCCUGUCCUGACUCCGAGCCCACCUGCCUGAACACUCUGCCUGAGCCUGCCUGCCGCCUGGUACCGUUGCCCCACCUCUGGUUUAAUGACCCCUACCUGCCUUGAUCUGUCUAUUGCCUGACCCUGUUGGAAUAGUAAACAAUUGUUUAUUUCGAUGUGGUCUGCAUCUGGGUCUUACCUCCAUACCUGAUAGUACGAACUGGACCUGACUGACCCACAGACCCGGACCAGCUGCGCAAUGCCAUCUCCUCCCAAGGAGCCUCCAUUCAUAGGCACCAGGGAUUGCUUUCUGGGCUGAUGGACAGGUGAAACACAGACAGGUGAAACAGAUCAGGGUGUGACAUUUCUCCCAUUUUCAGUUUUAUUUACUUAGCUAGCAAAUUCACAUAGAGGGUUGCUGCGUUAGCUAGCUGGCUAUGACUAUCCAAAACAACACUGGAACUCUUCCAAGUCAUGGUAAGCUUUUGGUUUUAACCAUUUUCACCCGCCGGUGUAAGUGCUAAACUGCUUACUGACUGUACACUAACUUUACUGCAUGAUUGUAGCGGCUUUACUAAUGCGUUAUUUCUAAUAGUUAUGUUGACUAUGACGUUACUUUAGCUAAUUUGCUGACAAUGAUGUAGGCUGUGUGUAGCGGUUAUGAUAUGGUUUGGCUUGGAAAGUUUUUUUUUGCCUGGUCACAUACAGCUGAUGUGUUGUGCAUUGAAGUCCACAAGCCAAGGGAAAAGGUGAGAAGGAAUACAAUGUGUUUGCUAUGAAAGUGAACUGUGUUUACAAGGAAUCAGGGGUGUAUUGAUUCUGUUGAAAAUAUUUUCUUAAAUGGAAGCAAACGGAAUGGGGAUAAACAUAAUUAAAUUUGUCCAAUAGAAACUCUUGUUUGCAACUGUUGGACUAAUGAUUACACCCUAAAUCAGCUAGAUGCAUUGCAAGUGUGUAUGGCAGUAUUGAAUGUGUCACUGUCUGUCCAUGUGUCACCUCAAAUAUUUCUCUUGACCUGUUUGCACCUACGUUCUAAACUUUCAUUCGUAGGCCAGGUUGUAGCAACCUCAUGACACAUAAAGGGAAAAUUCAAGUAUCAUGUAGUAGCCUAGACCUAUCACUGUUACAUUGAACUGGGUGAAUGGAAUAUGAAUGACAGUCAUCCAACAUGCUGUAAUAGAAAUAAGUCCAAGCCCAUGAAAAAAAAACGGCACCUAGCGCCACUGGUUUACAUACAUGUGACAGAUUUUCACAUGAAUUUAAAAAGAAUCUGCACAAACAAAAUCUGCACAUUUUCCCACCAUUGGUGUGUUUUCACCAAAUUAACUUGUUGCAGAUAAAAAUCAGUGUGUGAUGAUGUAGUGCAAACAAAAUGUACUUAAAUGUCACUGACAUUAAAUAGCAAAUGAGCUUACUCUGGUCUUGGCACAUGUUGUCUAGCCAACAGCUUGCAGAUACAGUGUGGGUAGACUGUGCGGGUAGGUUAUAGUCUACAAUAGCUAGGUUUUAUUCCAAUUGACGACAAAUUUUCAGGGAAGUGAUGGAGUCCAGGUGAGUCUGAUGACGCGCAUGUGCGUGUAAUGAUGGUGACAGGUGUGCGGCAUUAAAACCUGUUAGGGAAGUGCUUCCCCUGUGGGAAUCGAAUUUGCAGAAAUUUCAAGUGCACCACGCAUAGUUUAUGAUAAAAAUCAAAAUUUCAUAAAAAUUGACAUCCAAUAUACCAAAUUAAAGCUACACUCGUUGUGAAUCUAUCCACCAAGUCAGAUUUGUAAAAUGCUUUUCGGGGAAAGCAUGAGACGCUAUUAUCUGUACCAUGCAGCCUCACAUACUGCAACGUCACAAAACGACAGAUUUUUCGUUAGCGCUCGCAAACGAAAAGGCUGAAAUAAAAUAUAAAACAUUCCUUACCUUUGACAAGCUUCAUUCUUGGCACUCCUAGAUGUCCCAUAAACAUCAUUUAGGGUCUUUUUUCGAUUAAAUCGGUCCAUAUAUAGCCUAGAUAUCGAGCUAGGAAUACCUUGGAAUUAGAGGAAAAAAUUAGCAUUUCCUAACGUAACGUCAUUUUUUAAAAUGCCAAAAGUCGACGAUAAACUUUCACAAAACACUUCGAAAUACUUUUGUAAUGCAACUUUAGGUAUUAGUACACGUUAAUAAGCGAUAAAAUACCUCAUGAGGCGGUGUGAAAUCGUUAGCUUGUCCGUGGAGAAAAAGAUGUUUGGAAAUGGUCGUCCCAAAAUCUGGGCGGUGCCAGUAGGAAAGUAGUUCCCUUGUUUGGGUUAGACCAAGAAUCAAUUGCGAAACUAAUGACGUAACUCUAGACAGCAUGGGGAAGCUGUAGCCAAUGAGAACUCGGCUCUAUUUAAUUCCAUUCGCUGUUAACAAUUGUCUGUAGUCGCGGAAGGAUAUAUGUUUCCAUUUUCAGCGAACAGAUUUUCAUGCACUUUUCGAUGGAACGCUAGUUCUGUAAAUGCCACAGGCGUGAUUUAAACAGUUUUGGAAAGGUCUGAGUGUUUUCUAUCCAUACACACUAAUCACAUGCAUAUGCUAUAUUCCUGGCAUGAAUAGCAGGGCGCUGAAAUGUUGCGCGAUUUUUACAAAAAAGCUGCGAAAAGUAGCGACUUCCUUAACAAGCAGCCUGGUGACCUAGAGGCCGGAGAGGGAGCACAGGUGACAGUACUGAAUAAAACUCUACUGAUGGUUUUAUCAUGACAAAAAUCAGGUUAAAUAGCAAAUGUGCCCACUCUGGUCUUGGCACGUAUGCUCUAGCUCAGUAUCCCAGGGGUACGCGCAAUGCCGUCGGGAUAUGCCAAAUCAAAAUGUGAUUCACAUUUCAAACAGUCAACUUAGUAAGGCCCGCGUCCAUUGAGACACAUUCCAGCUCUACUGGUAGUACUGCUACAACCAGCAGUACUACACCUACACCGUCGAUGACACAAGUCUCACAUUCAAUGCUAGCAUCAGUAAUUUUGCAUUUGUUUGUUAGCCAAGCUAGCAUGAGUAACGGAUGUGAAACGGCUAGCUUAGUUAGCGGUGCGCACUAAAUAGCGUUUCAAUCAGUGACGUCACUUGCUCUGAGACCUUGAAGUAGUAGUUCCCCUUGCUCUGCAAGGGCCGUGGCUUUUGUGGAGCGAUGGGUAACGAUGCUUCGUAGGUGACUGUUGUUGAUGUGUGCAGAGGGUCCCUGGUUCGCGCCCGGGUAUGGGCGAGGGGACGGUCUAAAGUUAUACUGUUACACAUGGACACUGACAGUUGUGAAUCUGAUGCAGCCGAAGAGCUACUGCCCCCUUACCCGGGAAAGCACCGAACAAUAGACAGGGACGUUGGACAUUCGAAGAGACUCAAUUAUAAUGAGAACUACAUUGAUUUGGGGUUCACUUAUAUAGGGUGGUAGUGCCUUUCCUCAGCUACAGUGUGUUAUAUGUGCAAAAGUACUAUCUCACAACUCAAUGAAACCUUCACUCUUGCGCAGACAUUUAGAAACCAACAUGCCAAUUUGAAAAAUUAACCACAGGAGUUUUUUGAGCGAGAUUAAGACGACUUUCGAAUAGUAAGACAUGUAUAAAACCAACAGAUACCAUUAAUAAGAAGGGUCUAGAAUCGUCUUAUAUGGUGAGCUACCGAGUGGCUAGGACAGGCCAGCCCCAUACUAUUGUGGAGGACUUAAUUCUUCCUGCUGCUGCGGAUAUGGCUGGGACAAUGCUGGGGGAAAAUGUCAAAAUAACUAUAUAGACAAUGUGACAGUGACAUGGCGGGAGAUAUUUUGAAACAAUUACUGCUUCGCAUACAAGACAGGGAAUUCUAUACGUUACAUCUGGAUGAGUCAACAGACGUGGAGGGCCUGGCACAGCUCCUGGUAUAUGUCCUUUACGUUUAUGGGGGGGUCAAUUGAGGAAGACAUCCUCUUCUGCAAACCACUGGAAACCAGGACAACAGGAUAGGACAUUUUUAAAGUAUUGGACAGCUUUGUGACAUCAAAUGGACUUUGGUGGUCAAGAUGUGUUGGUAUCUGUACUGGUGGCGCAAAAGCCAUGACAGGGAGACAGUGGAGUGGUAACGCGCAUGCAAGCAGUUGCUCCCGACGCCACUUGGGUACACUGCAGCAUCCACCGAGAGGCUCUUGCUGCCAAGGGAAUGCCUGACAGCUUGACAUAAGUGUUGGACACUGCAGUGAAAACAGUUAACUUUGUUAAAGCAAGGCCCCUGAAAUCUUGUGUAUUUUCUGCACUAUGCAAUGAUUUGGGCAGCGACCAUGUAACGCUUUUACAAAAUACAGAAGUGCGCUGGUUAUCAAGGGGGAAAGUAUUGACACGUUUUUUUUUAAUUGUGAGACGAGCUUAAAGUUUUCUAUACUGACCAUAAUUUUCACUUGUCUGACCGCUUGCAUGAUGACGGGACGCAUGCACGAUCUGAAUCUAGGAUUACAGGGACUCUCCGCAACUAUAUUCAAUGUGUGGGACAACAUUGAGGCUAUGAUUAAGACGUUGAAGCUCUUCUCUGUCUGCAUUAACCAAGGACAACACACAGGUCUUUCCAUCAUUGUAUGAUUUUUUUGUGCGCAAAUUAACUCAAGCUUACGGACAAUGUCAAAUGUGAUAAAGUGAAGCACCUGAGUUGGGUGCGUAAUUAUGCAGGUACUUUCCUGAAACGGAUGACACAAACAACUGGGUUCGUUAUCCCUUUCAUGCCCUGCCUCCAGUUCACUUAACGAUAUCUGAACAAGAGAGACUCAUUAAAAUUGCAACAAACGGUUCUGUGAAAAUGUAAUUUAAUCAGAGGCCACUGGCAGAUUUCUGGAUUGGGCGGUCAGAGUAUCCUGCCUUGGCAAAUCAAGCUGUUAAGACACUGAUGCCCUUUGCAACCACCUUACCUAUGUGUGAGUGGAUUCCCGGCCCUCACUAGCAUGAAAACUAAAUACAGACACAGAUUGUGUGUGGAAAAUUAUUUAAGACGGAGACUCUCUACAAUACAACUCAACAUUGCAGAGUCCUUUCAAGCACUCCCUUCUCAUUAACCUGUGGUGAGUUAUUGUCAGAUGUGUGCGUACUGGUAGCGAAGUCAGGUGCAGGAGAGCAGAGAUUUGUGAACACGCGCACACUUUAUUAAGGCAAAAGUGCAAAGGGCGCAAAACAGUCACAAGAAUUAUGUUUAACAAUAAACAUCUUCGUGAAAAAUAAUACGGGAAAAACAAGCCAGUCUUGCGUGUCAAGAAUACACACGUAACACAAACAAUCUUACACAAAGACAUGAUGGGGAACAGAGGAAUAAAUCCAUGUAGAUUGAUUGGGGAAUGAAAACCAGGUGUGCAGGGAACAAGACAAAACAAAUGGAUACAUGAAAAAUGGAGCGGCGAUGGCUAGAAAGCCGGUGACGCCGCCCGAACAAUUUUCGGUGAACAAAUAAGGUUUUAUAUGUAAGAUGGUUAAAUAAAGAGCAAAAUUAUUGAAUAUUAUUAUAUUAUUAUUUGUGCCCUGAUCCUAUAUGAACUCUUUGUCACUUCCUACGAGCCGGGUUGUGACAAAAACUCACACUCAUUCUUAUGUUUAAUAAAUGCAUCAUAUAGUGUGUGUGUUGCAGGCUUACAAUGAUGGCAAAAAACAACAUUUGAGAGUGCGCUGACCCUGGUGCUAGAGGGGGUACGCAGCUGGAGGUUGAAUGUUUGAAGGGGUAUGGGGCUAUAAAACGUUUGGGAAUGAUUGCUCUAGCAGAUACAGUGUGGGUAUAGCCUACUACAUGAUGAGAUUAUUAUGGAUAAGAGCAAUAAUCUUUUUUGUUGUCAAAUUGCCGUCAAGCACAGGGCCGGAUGUACCGCAUUUGGAGCCCUGGGACACCGAAUUCUUCCAGUUUUUUCCUUAACAAAGAAACUUGAAACAAGGGAGACUCAAACCCAUGGUUAGUGUACCCUGUGGAUUCCUAAUUAACCAACUGAGUAGUACAAUACCAAUAUUGUAUACAUGACAGCUAUUGACCACAAGGUUUAUUUUACGCUGUAUGAUAAACUUAAAUGUUGUAUAGACCUCCUUUAUCUACGUUUCCGUAAAUGCACAUUGAUGUGUGUAAAACUGAUAAGCAAAAACGUGGGAUUUUCUCAUAUAUGCGAAAACGUGCCUUUUGAAUUUAAACUAACGUUAGUAGCUAGUAUCCUGUCAAGGAUACAUCAUGCAAUAUUGACACACUACCCUUGUGACAGACCAAAAGGAUAAGUGAAAAUGUUUCAAAUAUCCCUCUAGUGGCCAAGUUGACCUAUUCUAAAGGGGAUCUGCACCUGCUGAUUUCGCCUAGUUUUUUUGGCCUGCUCCAUAUGAAAUGCUGUCGGCCAUGAUGGAAGACAAAUGUGAGUUGGCUUGGGGGUGUGGUUGAUGUGGGUGUUUCUUGGGUGCCACCACCAAGACACCCAUCUGUCAGAACCUUGCCCACAGCUGUUUCCUCCCACUCAAUCACAACAAACAAACCUCCUGCAGGUUGAGUUCAAUAACUACAGGCAGAUAUAUGGUGAGAUGCCGGAAUAAGCUUUGGAUUGAUCAGUAGCCUACAGAGGAAUAUGAGAAGAAUGCAAUUGCUGAAUUUAUGUUAAAAUAUUAUUUGUCACAUGCUUUGUAAACAACUGUCACGACCGUCGUAAGAAGUAGAGUGUACAUUUCUGUUUAUUUAGGUAAAUGCCGAGUGUGGUUCCCAAUCAGAGGCAGCUGUCUAUCGUUGUCUCUGAUUGGGGAUCAUACUUAGGUAGCCCUUUUUCCCUCCUUCUGUGUGGGAUCUUGUCUUUGUUCAUGUGAAUGUUGUUUGCACGACGAAGCUGUUCGGUCGUUGUAUUGUUUAUUGUUUUUGGUGUACAUUGAAAAUUAAAAGGAAAUGUACGCUUACCACGCUG